rnacentral:misc_RNA from 1 species
GGAAGGAUCAUUAAAAAUAUAGCAAACCAAGCGUCAGCGAGGUUUUGCGAUCAAUUGUAUUUAAAACCCAACUCUUUGAAUCAAUAUAUUUUUUUAAUUAAUAAAAAAUAAAGAUCACUUUCAACAACGGAUCUCUUGGCUCUCGCAUCGAUGAAGAACGUAGCGAAGUGCGAUAUGUAAUGUGAAUUGCAGAAUUCCGUGAAUCAUCGAAUUUUUGAACGCAAAUUGCACUCUCUGGUAUUCCAGAGAGUAUGCCUGUUUGAGGGUCAGUGUAAUAAAAACAUCGUAGUUGUUAUCACAUUUCGUGGUGACGCUUCGGAAUUGAGUCGUCUUACCUUUUUGGUUAAGUGACUUUAAAUUUUUUUACACGAAUUCGAAACGUUAUUUAAUGCAAAUUUUAUGUACGUUUAACGAAGUCGGUUAUUAGGUGCGGUCAUUUGUAUGAUAAUUCGCAUCUAUAAUUUUUUCUUUUUUUGACCUCAAAUCAGGUAAGAGUACCCGCUGAACUUAAGCAUAUCAAUAAGCGGAGGAAAAGAAAAUAACAAUGAUUCCCUUAGUAACGGCGAGUGAAGAGGGAUAAGCUCAAAUUUAAAAUCUGUUAGGUUUUACCUAAUCGAGUUGUAAUUUGAAGAAGCGUUUUCCGCGUCUUUGUUGGCCCAAAUCCUUUGGGAUAAGGUAUCAUGGAGGGUGAGAAUCCCGUACGGCCGAUAUCAUGACGUUUUACGAUACGCUCUCAAAGAGUCGAGUUGUUUGGGAUUGCAGCUCUAAAUGGGAGGUAAAUUUCUCCUAAGGCUAAAUAUUGGCGAGAGACCGAUAGCGAACAAGUACCGUGAGGGAAAGAUGAAAAGAACUUUGAAAAGAGAGUUAAAAAGUACGUGAAAUUGUUGAAAGGGAAACGAUUGAAGUCAGUCGUACCGACGAGAAAUCAACUCAACGAAUGGGUAAUUGCGGGCGUAUGAGAGCUUCACGGUCUCAUUGUUUGUAAAUGCAUGUUCUUUGGGUGUACUUUUUCGUAUGGUAGGUCAGCAUCGGUUUCGAUUGUUAUAAAAUGACCGGAGGAAUGUAGCUUCGAUUUCGAUUGAAGUGUUAUAGCCUUUGGUAGAUGUUAUUGAUCGAGACCGAGGAUUGCAACGAAUACCCUUUUAGGGCUAUCCGUCUGACCUCUGAAAGUUGCUUAGGUGCCGAAAGCUUGCUUACGGUUACUUAAGCCAGCGGUCAAUAGGUUAGAACGUGAUUAAAUUCGUUAAGGAUGUUGACGUAAUGGCUUUAAACGACCCGUCUUGAAACACGGACCAAGGAGUCUAACAGAUAUGCGAGUGUUUGGGUGAAGAAACCCUUACGCGUAAUGAAAGUAAUUUAGGUGGGAUCACUUCGGUGUGCACCAUCGACCGAUCAGGAUAUUUUUUGAUAGACUCGAGUAAGAGCAUAUCUGCUAGGACCCGAAAGAUGGUGAACUAUGCCUGAAUAGGGUGAAGUCAGAGGAAACUCUGAUGGAGGCUCGUAGCGGUUCUGACGUGCAAAUCGAUCGUCAAAUUUGGGUAUAGGGGCGAAAGACUAAUCGAACCAUCUAGUAGCUGGUUCCUGC